rnacentral:rRNA from 1 species
GACGAACGCUGGCGGCGUGCUUAACACAUGCAAGUCGAACGUAAAGGCCCUGCUUUUGUGGGGUGCUCGAGUGGCGAACGGGUGAGUAACACGUGAGUAACCUGCCCUUGACUUUGGGAUAACUUCAGGAAACUGGGGCUAAUACCGGAUAGGAGCUCCUGCUGCAUGGUGGGUGUUGGAAAGUUUCGGCGGUUGGGGAUGGACUCGCGGCUUAUCAGCUUGUUGGUGGGGUAGUGGCUUACCAAGGCUUUGACGGGUAGCCGGCCUGAGAGGGUGACCGGCCACAUUGGGACUGAGAUACGGCCCAGACUCCUACGGGAGGCAGCAGUGGGGAAUAUUGCACAAUGGGCGGAAGCCUGAUGCAGCAACGCCGCGUGCGGGAUGACGGCCUUCGGGUUGUAAACCGCUUUCGCCUGUGACGAAGCGUGAGUGACGGUAAUGGGUAAAGAAGCACCGGCUAACUACGUG